rnacentral:lncRNA from 1 species
UUGCACACUUCGGGUGUGUAUAUGAUGAUAUUCUGCGAAAGGUUAUUUAUGCUGCGUUUCUCUCGACUUACCCUGGCCUAGACGACACCCGUGAGUGGGGAAGGGUUUGAUCAUUAUUACAGGUACCGUUGGUGACUUGUGGUUCUGUUGGUGACUUUGGGUUCAGAUGACAGUUCUCAGUUGACUUUGGGUUUCAAUUGGAUUUGGGUUCUGAGUUUAAACCGUAGCUUCGACCUUGUGUUCAGAGAUGCACGGCCAGCCAGUUGUGUCUGCAUCAUUUGCAUCAUAGCAUGUUUAUUUUCAAAAAAAAAUACGCAAUACAAAAAAAAAGAAAAAAGAAGAAA